UACGAAGGGGGCUAGCGUUGCUCGGAAUUACUGGGCGUAAAGGGCGCGUAGGCGGAUGUUUAAGUCAGCGGUGAAAGCCCAGGGCUCAACCUUGGAACUGCCAUUGAUACUGGACAUCUUGAGUACGGGAGAGGUGAGUGGAACACCGAGUGUAGAGGUGAAAUUCGUAGAUAUUCGGUAGAACACCAGUGGCGAAGGCGGCCAACUGGACGGUGACUGACACUGAGACGCGAAAGCGUGGGGAGCAAACAGG
rnacentral:rRNA from 1 species